GUGCUCACUUCAGCAGCACAUAUAUUAAAAUUGGAAAGAUACAGAGAAGAUUAGCAUGGCCCCUGCACAAGGAUGACAUGCGAAACAUGAAGUGAUCCAUAUUAAA